GUUUCGGCACCAUUCCAGGUAAAAUCAUCAGUGAGCAUCCGGGGAAGCGCUGGAGUUAGGUCCCGCCUUCUCUUUAAGUGUUCCGGUUUCCUUGGGUUGGUAAUGUCAUUUCCGGUUCCUUUUCUCAGAGGAUUGGAGAUGGAUUUGGCGCCAACGUGUUCUCCCGAGUGUAGUCUGUGUGUGGCAUGAACUGCCAGAGGAGUGACAGAGGCUGUUAUACUCACAGUAUUGAGAAGUCACCUGCAGGGACACAUAAAUAGGAAGGGGCUGGAGGGAUAUGGGCUACAGGCUGGCAAACAGAACUAGUCAGUUCCGGUAUCUGGUCGGCCUGGAGGAGUUGGGCUGAAGGGUCUGUUUCCCUGCUGUACAACUCGACGACUCUGUCUCUCUCUCUCUCUCUCUCCCAUUUUCUCCAAACCCACCCCCCGCCACACACACAAUCUCUGUCUCUCUCUGUCGUCUUGUCUCUGCCACCUCGCUGUGCACUUCUGUCUCUCUCCUCUUUCACUCUGUCUCUUUGGUCUCUGUGUGCGCCCCUCUCUAUCUCUCGUCUUGUAUCUGGCUCCGUCUGUGUGUGCUUCUGCCGUUCUCUCUCCCCUUCUCCCUGUCUCUCCCUGUGAACCUCUCUCUGUCCCCUCUCCCCCGCCCCCCUGUCUCUCUCUUUCUCUCUAUCCGAGCCUCUCCACCCGCUCAGCAGGGAGCGUUGUGAGUUUUUUGAACGAAGUUUAAAAAUCUCUAUUUAAACCCAACCCAUCCGCAAUCAGACUGCAUUUCUAAUCCCCUCUCUCUCUCACUCACACACACACACACACACACACACACAGAGUCUGUCUCUGUCUCUUUCUCCCUCUCAGUCAAUCCCCUUCCUCUCCUGUUCCGACUCACGCCUUUCCCCCCCCCUCCCUCGGCGACGAGUCCGCUGUCUGGAUCCCUUUUCCCGGGAGGGUUCUGAGGACCCAGCUGUUCGGCAGCGGGGAUCAUCGCACCACGCUCCCGGACCCCCACAACCUCCUGUUCUCCAGCGGCCUCCAGCAUGACCACCGGGCUGGGAGCAGGCAUCCGGGCUGCUGGAGCGCUCGCUGCUCAGUGGCUCGGCCCUGUGCCGGGAGCGGGGAUCCGAGGUGGGAGAAGGCCUCUUCGCCCGGCGCCUGGGCACAGCUGCCUGGCACCGAGCCCGCGCUCCCUGAGCACCCGGCUGCGGGUCCGCGACGCCUUCCGUAGCUGAGCAGCCGACAACUAUCUCCUACUGCAAGACAACAUCAGGUGAAGAUGUGCGUGAUUUCACCAAGGUGCUGAAAAAUAAGUAAGAAAUAUUUUGCCAAACAUCCUCGCUUGGGUUAUUUACCAGUACAAACAGCUCUAGAAGGCGAGAACCUUGAGACUGGAUCUGUUGGAGUUGCACACAGCGCAACGCGUCUUUGAUCAACACAAAUUGACACAAACCGAGCAACUUCUGAAUGUGACUGAAGUAAUCAACUGUUUAACGUCCAUUUAUGAUGUUUUGGAACAAAACCACAAGGACUUGGUCAAUGUGCCACUCUGUGUCGACAUGUGUCUGAACUGGCUGCUGAACGUAUUUGAUAUGUAUGUAUGAUUUACACUUUAAUGUAGUAUGUUUAGAUUCUCCUAAGGUGCAUUUAAACUGCAUCCGACAUAUUGGAUUUUGAUAUGUACAUGAUCCGUUCAGUGAAUAUGAAGAUUGUCGACUGAUUAAAAUCAA